GAUUCAAAUAAUUGAUUGACAAAUUAUUUGUUGUUAAAAGAGAUAUUGGAGUAAACCAUAUCAAAGUUACAUUAUGUUAGUCUGAAAUUGUUGUUUGUUAUUUAGACCGGGUAGGCAUUCUCGCCCUUGAUAAUCAGGACUAAAAUCCCAAGACCUAGAGGAGUCCAUUUUUUGGAGCCAAAGCCACCUCAUGCGCAGCGCCCACCCCAUCUUUUCAAGAUCACUUUAAUGUAAUUGAUUCAAUUAAUAAAUCAACAUUUGUGUUAACUAAUUUUCAAAGCACGUCAGCUCCUUAUGCCUUGUGCGAAUUUGCAUUUCAGUCGUUGUUAGCCAAGCAUGUCUUUCGGAAAGAAAAUUGUUGUUAGCCAAGGGCAAGCCUAAUGUAUAAAGUUAAAAUGCCCCACAAGAUGGGGCCAUGUACAUGUAUCAAUAGUUAAGGCAUUACUUAUAAUGGUAUACAUGUUUCAAUGAAA
rnacentral:lncRNA from 1 species